AGAGUUUGAUCAUGGCUCAGAACGAACGCUGGCGGCGUGGAUAAGACAUGCAAGUCGGACGAGAUUUUUCGUUGUAGCAAUACGAUGGAAAAUUUAGUGGCGAACGGGUGCUUAACACGUGGGCAACCUGCCAAGAAGUGGGGGACAGCUCGCCGAAAGGCGGAUUAAUACCGCAUGUGAUUAGAGAGGACAUCCUUUCGAAAUUAAAGUCGGGGCAACCUGACGCUUCUUGUGGGGCCCGCGGCCUAUCAGCUAGUUGGUGAGGUAACGGCUCACCAAGGCUUUGACGGGUAGCUGGUCUGAGAGGACGACCAGCCACACUGGGACUGAGACACGGCCCAGACACCUACGGGUGGCAGCAGUCGAGAAUUUUUGACAAUGGGGGAAACCCUGAUCGAGCGACGCCGCGUGGAGGAUGAAGGUCUUCGGAUUGUAAACUCCUGUCAUUGGGGAACAAUGCACAGAUAUUAACUGUAUUUGUGUUGAUAGUACCCGAAGAGGAAGAGACGGCUAACUCUGUGCCAGCAGCCGCGGUAAUACAGAGGUCUCAAGCGUUGUUCGGAUUCAUUGGGCGUAAAGGGUGCGUAGGCGGCGCGGUAAGUCGGGUGUGAAAUCUCGGAGCUUAACUCCGAAACUGCAUUCGAUACUGCCGUGCUUGAGGACUGGAGAGGAGACUGGAAUUUACGGUGUAGCGGUGAAAUGCGUAGAUAUCGUAAGGAAGACCAGUGGCGAAGGCGGGUCUCUGGACAGUUCCUGACGCUGAGGCACGAAGGUCAGGGGAGCAAACGGGAUUAGAUACCCUAGUAGUCC
rnacentral:rRNA from 1 species